GGAGGGUGCGAGCGUUAAUCGGAAUAACUGGGCGUAAAGGGCACGCAGGCGGUGACUUAAGUGAGGUGUGAAAGCCCCGGGCUUAACCUGGGAAUUGCAUUUCAUACUGGGUCGCUAGAGUACUUUAGGGAGGGGUAGAGUUCCACGUGUAGCGGUGAAAUGCGUAGAGAUGUGGAGGAAUACCGAAGGCGAAGGCAGCCCCUUGGGAAUGUACUGACGCUCAUGUGCGAAAGCGUGGGGAGCAAACAGGAUUAGAUACCCUGGUAGUCCACGCUGUAAACGAUGUCGAUUUGGGGGUUGAACUUUGAGUUUGGCGCCCGUAGCUAACGUGAUAAAUCGACCGCCUGGGGAGUACGGCCGCAAGGUUA
rnacentral:rRNA from 1 species